UCGACGUUUUAAGAUCCAUCUUAAAUCGUUCAAAAGGGAAGUUCUCAUUGAACUGAUGACAGAUGUCAGUAAUAAUUCGUCAAGCCUGAACACGAAAAUGAUAAAAGAUCUCAGCUGUCCUGAACUGGUUAGUUUUAUGAUAACAUAUAUUGACACUCAACUCUUGAUUAAUAGAGUGAUACACAUGUUUGCUGUCAAAUCACUGAUGAUACCGAAGAGUCAAUGCUUGAAAGCAAUUCUAGCAGCAGAAGAGGCCAAGUCUCAGGUAAAAGGAUAAAAGAUUAGAAAUUGUGUACUGAUUACAUUUUGGUUCUCUUUUUUUGCAAUUAAACCAAUUGACUCACACUGGUUCUCCUUUUUUGAAAUUUACUUAGGCACAAUUGAAUUCUAAACCAUUGGUUAGACUAUUGUUUAGUUCUUGAAUGGAGAUGAUAUGGGGUUCCUUAAUUUCUCUCUCUAGUUUCUCUCUUUACUGUGUCUCUCUCUAGUAUAUGUUGAUAUUUCUUGCUUUUCAAUGUGAUUUUACCUCAGUGAUUGUUUUUUUUUUUUUUUAUCUUGGCCAUACCUUUUGAUCUCUCUCUGUCUGGUCUUCAUUGAUUUCUUCUUGCAGGGUCUUUAAUCUCAUAAUUCAUGAGACUUUAAUAUUCUCCGUUCCUUAAAUCUCUUCAUCUUGAUAUCUACAAGGAAUUGUUUAAGCCGGUCUUUCAUUUGAUGCAUCUUAUUCUCCAUUUUUGUGUGAAUUACACCAAUCUUUCUCUAUCUAUCUUGUUUAUUGAUCUGUCCGAUUAUAUUAUUUUUUGAUUUUUUUGACUAUUUUCUUAUGUGAUUUGACUAUUUUUAAGUUUUAGCCUAUUUUUCCCUCUCAGUCUUAUUCUUAUGUUUUUCUUUUUUUUGGAUUGGUGAGCUUUCCUCAAGUUUUUAUCUUUACUUUUUAGUAGGUAAUAGGAUUUUGGGCUCAUCUAAUUGAUACCGUUCUCUUCCUUUUUAUUAUCGUCAGGUUUUUGUUAUCGGUAUAUAUAUUGUUGUUGUUAUUGUUGUUAUUUGUGAUUUCCAUAUCUAACUGAGUGCCGACCCUUGGAUGUUCACAUGUUGAGAUUUCGGAAAUUCUAGUUGCGCAAGUUCACAAUUCCUUAAGGAGGUUACAUAAGACUCUUAAUUAUGUGGCAAAAGGAGUGGUUAAGCAGAGCUGAACUUUGUGAAGUUCUCCAUUGUAAUACCCUUUCUACAAGUGU
rnacentral:lncRNA from 1 species